CGCGCAUCGAAUCAAGGGAAGCGUGCCGGUGCAGGCAAGAGACCACCGUAAGCGUCGUUGCAACCAAUUAAGCGCCGAUUCCAAUCAGCGCGACUUCGCACUCGCUGCCUAAGCGACUGUGAGUCUGUCAGCCCGGGAGUGCCCUCGGCCCGGACCCUGGCAUCAGCUAGAGGGACCCACCCACGGGUUCGGUCGCGGAAUCCGUGGGGACAUCAAACAGCGACUGGGAUCGUCAUCCUGACUUGUUCGCGUGAUCGGGAGAUCCGAGUAGAGGCAUAGCGAACUGCGCACGGAGAAGCCUCGAGGGAAUGCCGUAGGACCCGG
rnacentral:misc_RNA from 1 species